rnacentral:sRNA from 1 species
UGUUGAGUUAUUCAUCUAUUUGUCGCGC